GACGAACGCUGGCGGCGUGCUUAACACAUGCAAGUCGAACGGAAAGGCCUCUUUCGGGGGGUACUCGAGUGGCGAACGGGUGAGUAACACGUGAGUAACCUGCCCUUGACUUUGGGAUAACUUCAGGAAACUGGGGCUAAUACCGGAUAGGAGCUCCUGCUGCAUGGUGGGGUUGGAAAGUUUCGGCGGUUGGGGAUGGACUCGCGGCUUAUCAGCUUGUUGGUGGGGUAGUGGCUUACCAAGGCUUUGACGGGUAGCCGGCCUGAGAGGGUGACCGGCCACAUUGGGACUGAGAUACGGCCCAGACUCCUACGGGGGGCAGCAGUGGGGAAUAUUGCACAAUGGGUGGAAGCCUGAUGCAGCAACGCCGUGUGCGGGAUGACGGCCUUCGGGUUGUAAACCGCUUUCGCUCAUGACGAAGCUUUGUGUGACGGUAGUGGGUAAAGAAGCACCGGCUAACUACGUG
rnacentral:rRNA from 1 species